rfam:Schistosoma mattheei strain Denwood, Zambia genome assembly, scaffold: SMTD_scaffold0001015
AUCCAGCCGACGAAUCCUAAAUAGAACGAAACGCUCGUCCCAGAU